AUGGCAGCGAGUUUGAAGCCAACGCCGGCAAUCCUACUCAGCAGGCCCUGCUCUAUCUCAACCGGUGGCAACUACUCCUCUCGUCUCCCUCUCCAACCGUCUCCCAGGCCCCGCUUUCCCCAUGUCCAAGCAUCACCUGCCACGGAAGCUACGCCGACCUCUAGAGUUGAACACGAAACAAGAGAUACAUACAACCAUGUGGCCUCUGCUGGCGUUGCCGCUGCUCCCAAGACGCUGUCCAGGUACGAGCCCUCUCUGUGGGGUGACUACUUCCUCGACUACGAGCCAAAACCACUGCAGAGGUCAGAAAAAUGGAUGAUUGCAAGAGCUCAUAAAUUAAAGGAGGACAUCAACAUGUUGUUUGAGAGUUGCAAGUGCACGGUGGAAAGAAUAACCUUAUUGGACAGUGUCCAACGUCUCGGAAUAGACCAUCACUUUAAGAAACAGGUUGAUAUCGCGUUAAGUCAAAUUACCGAGGAUGAAUUCAGUAGCUCUAGCCUCCAUCACGUUGCCCUCCGGUUUGGCUUGCUUCGAAAACAUGGUCUUUGGGUGUCUGCAGAUGUUUUCAACAAAUUUAAGAAUGAAGAUGGGAGCUUUAGGAAAGAUAUUACCAAUGACCCAAAGGGACUUUUAUGUCUAUACAACGCAGCCCAUCUUCUUGUUCAUGGUGAGCCAUCAUUGGAAGAAGCUAUCUCAUUUACAAAGCAUCAUCUUGAAUUGAUGAGGGACACUCUCAAGUCUCCUUUAGACGAGCAAGUUAAACGUGCCCUUCGCGUACCAUUGCCAAGGACAUUGAAAAGGGUGGAAACACUCCAUUAUAUCUCUGAGUACAUGCACGAGGAACGACAUAACCCAACUCUAUUGGAGCUUGCGAAGCUGGAAUUUAACCUUCUACAACAUGUACACUUGAAGGAACUCAAAUAUCUCACUAAGUGGUGGCGCGAUCUGUACACGUGUGUCGGGCUAAACUAUGCUCGGGACCGCCUGGUGGAGGGUUACCUUUGGUGCUAUGCGAUAUACCAUGAGAAAGAAUUUGCGUUCUCAAGAAUAUUUCUUACCAAGCAAUUGAUGCUUAUUUCCUUGAUGGAUGACACAUAUGAUGCCCGUGCCACCAUUGAGGAAUGUCGACAACUAAAUGCGACCAUACAAAGAUGGGAUGAGAGGGCCACUUCUCUUCUACCCGACUACCUUAAAAGGUUCUAUACUGAACUAUUGAGGAUAUUUAAAGAUGCUACGAGUGAAGUGGCAAUUUGUGACACUUACCAUGUUGCCUAUGCCCGAAAAGCGUUUCAAGAUCUGUCUGCUUAUUAUCUCCAAGAAGCUGAAUGGUUACACCAGAAUCACAAGCCAAGCUUUAAAGAUCACCUGAGUUUAUCAGCCAUGUCCAUAGGAUCACCAACGAUAUGUGUAGGUUUGAUGGUUGGCAUGGGAGAUCCAGUCACAAGGGAAGCAUUUGAGUGGGCAGCUGGUUACCCAAAAGUCGCCAUAGCGUGCGGGAAGAUAGCACGUCUAAUGGAUGACAUUGCCGCAUUCAAAGGCGGGAAGGCCAAGGGGGAUAUGGCAAGCUCUAUAGAGUGUUACAUGGUUGAGCACAGUGUCACAAGUGAGGUUGCCAUUUCCAAGAUCCUAUCACUGCUAGAAGACGAAUGGAGAACUCUAAAUCAAGCUCACUUCGAACAUCACUCACACCUCCUAGUGGUGCAGCGGAUUAUUAACUUUGCUAAUAGCAUGCUAGUGUUCUAUGCUGGGAAAGAUGCAUAUACCUUCAGCAUAAAUCUUAAGGAGACUGUUGAGAGCCUUUUUGUGAAACCCAUUCCCAUGUAG
rnacentral:rRNA from 1 species